AAGGCAAACUGAAGUCCUUCAGACUUCAAGGUAAAUUUUUGAAUUUACUCCCAUUUCAAGUAACCACUCGAUGUCUCUUUCAUAUCCCGUUCUC
rnacentral:misc_RNA from 1 species